rnacentral:rRNA from 1 species
CCUACGGGAGGCAGCAGUGGGGGAUAUUGCACAAUGGGGGGAACACUGAUGCAGCGACGCCGCGUGGGUGAAGAAGCGCCUCGGCGCGUAAAGCCCUGUCAGCAGGGAAGAAAAUGACGGUACCUGAAGAAGAAGCCCCGGCUAACUACGUGCCAGCAGCCGCGGUAAUACGUCGGGGGCAAGCGUUAUCCGGAUUUACCGGGGGUAAAGGGGGCGCAGACGGCGAUGCAAGCCAGGAGUGAAAGGCCGGGGCCCAACCCCGGGACUGCUCUUGGAACUGCGUGGCUGGAGUGCAGGAGGGGCAGGCGGAAUGCGUGGUGUAGCGGUGAAAUGCGUAGAUAUCAGGAGGAACACCGGUGGCGAAGGCGGCCUGCUGGACUGGAACUGACGUUGAGGCCCGAAAGCGUGGGGAGCGAACAGGAUUAGAUACCCUUGUAGUC